rnacentral:rRNA from 1 species
UAGCAAGGUUAACCGUAUAGGGGAGCCGAAGGGAAACCGAGUCUUAACCGGGCGUUAAGUUGCAGGGUAUAGACCCGAAACCCGGUGAUCUAGCCAUGGGCAGGUUGAAGGUUGGGUAACACUAACUGGAGGACCGAACCGACUAAUGUUGAAAAAUUAGCGGAUGACCUGUGGCUGGGGGUGAAAGGCCAAUCAAACCGGGAGAUAGCUGGUUCUCCCCGAAAGCUAUUUAGGUAGCGCCUCGUGAACUCAUCUCCGGGGGUAGAGCACUGUUUCGGCUAGGGGGCCAUCCCGGCUUACCAACCCGAUGCAAACUGCGAAUACCGGAGAAUGUUAUCACGGGAGACACACGGCGGGUGCUAACGUCCGUCGUGAAGAGGGAAACAACCCAGACCGCCAGCUAAGGUCCCAAAGUCAUGGUUAAGUGGGAAACGAUGUGGGAAGGCCCAGACAGCCAGGAUGUUGGCUUAGAAGCAGCCAUCAUUUAAAGAAAGCGUAAUAGCUCACUGGUCGAGUCGGCCUGCGCGGAAGAUGUAACGGGGCUAAACCAUGCACCGAAGCUGCGGCAGCGACAUUUAGGUGUUGUUGGGUAGGGGAGCGUUCUGUAAGCCUGUGAAGGUGGCCUGUGAGGGUUGCUGGAGGUAUCAGAAGUGCGAAUGCUGACAUAAGUAACGAUAAAGCGGGUGAAAAGCCCGCUCGCCGGAAGACCAAGGGUUCCUGUCCAACGUUAAUCGGGGCAGGGUGAGUCGACCCCUAAGGCGAGGCCGA